rnacentral:rRNA from 1 species
AACGAACGCUGGCGGCAGGCUUAACACAUGCAAGUCGAGCGCCCCGCACGGGGAGCGGCAGGCGGGUGAGUAACGCGUGGGAACGUACCCUUUGGUUCGGAACAACUCCGGGAAACUGGAGCUAAUACCGGAUAAGCCCUAACGGGGAAAGAUUUAUCGCCCAAAGAUCGGCCCGCGUCUGAUUAGCUAGUUGGUGAGGUAACGGCGCGCCAAGGCGACGAUCAGUAGCUGGUCUGAGAGGAUGAUCAGCCACACUGGGACUGAGACACGGCCCAGACUCCUACGGGAGGCAGCAGUGGGGAAUAUUGGACAAUGGGCGCAAGCCUGAUCCAGCCAUGCCGCGUGAGUGAUGAAGGCCUUAGGGUUGUAAAGCUCUUUUGUCCGGGAAGAUAAUGACUGUACCGGAAGAAUAAGCCCCGGCUAACUUCGUG